AAAAAUCAGACUUGUAAACCCAAAUAGUUUUCUCCACCGGCGGCGAAUUCGUCAUCAAACCGGCAGCACCAGCAAAUUGAUUAUUGUCCGAUUUGGCUCCGUUCAGCUAAUUGAUUUUCCGGCCGACUAAUUUUGAGUGAGGUAAUUUUCCCCUGAUUUAUAUGAUCUGUAAAUUGAGUUACAGUGUUUUGACUCUGCAUAAUGAUAGGCCUAACUUCAAUCUCUUGUUUCGUUGUUCAACUAUUUAUUGUUCUAUUUACCUACCUAACCUAUCACCUUUUUGUGAGUUUCGUGCUUCAACUAUCAGUCACUUUGUACUAAAAUACUCAUGGAUGUUAAGUUAGCCUUCACGGGGAACAAGUUAAUAUUUGGUUAUCUCAAUAUCAAUGUGUGUUUUGAUACAAUUGUAGCCAUGGUGAAUUCUCCUUAAAAUUGUUAAUGUGGCCAUUCCAAGGUAGAAUAUAAUAUAAUAUUAAAAUGCUGACCAACAAUACCCCACUCAUUUUCAUAUUAUAAAAACUCAGACCCCACUAAUUAGUGGCGGGGCCACCUUUGAGUCAGGGGUUCAUUCGAACCCCCUUUGGCGCAAAAUUAUAUUAUUUAUAUAUGGUUAAAAUAAUUUUUUAGGUAUAUAUAGUAGAUGUCGAACUACCUUCGACUACUUUAAUUUGUGUCUUUAUUUUUUCAGAUUUUGAACCCCCUUAUUAAAAUUCUGACUCCGUCACUACCUCACUUUGUGAAAUUACAUUGAAUAUGUCGUUAUUUAUAAAGACGUAACCAAACUUUAGACGGGUCAAAAUAUGACUGGUGAUUAAUUUUCUUCAUUCAAACGCGUUAAAUACUAUAUAGUAUUUAAUUACCUUAAUUAACACCCCGAUCUACACUUCAGAAAGACCCAAUAUUCAACUUAGAGUCAAGUCGGAGAAAAAUAAAUACUAUAUAGUAUUUAAUUGCUUAUUUUCCAAUAACCUAUGUUCAUGUUGACUUUGCAUUUUUCCCUAUAUUACCUUUUAUGAAUUGGAAAAAUAGGAACAUGUCAUGAUGAUAGUAGUAAAGUAAAAAAAUUUCGUUAAGAGUGUUCUAAAUUUACUAGAGCACAUAAAAAUAAUACUCCUAUUUAACCAAUAUAUAAAAUAUUGGCGAAAGACGUAAACUAUAAGGAAAUUCUUGUGGGCAUACAUAGGAAAGUUUCAAAGUCUACAUAGUCAAUACCAACUACCACUAUUGUUAGUCUUGGUGCAAUUUUUUCCAAUUUUCUUUGGCCAAUUUCUCACUCUAUUUUUUAUUUCUUUUCUUCACAUGAUUUUGCUAUAAAUUUACCAUUUUCCUCAAUUGCAAUUGCAUCAAUAUAUUGGUUCCUAUUUUUUUUUCCACACAUUUGGUGCAUAACACUAACAUUCACUAGCCAAAAGAACCCUUAAAAAUAUGUCAUCUUCAUCAGCAGAAUCGAAAAUGGCCUUGGCCAAGACUUUUCUAUCGACAGUAGGCUCUGUUGCUGCGCCAGCCAUGUUGGUUCGUUCGAUAUUCCAUGACUACAUUCCCCGGGAACUCCAUGAAUAUCUCUUCUUUGGACUUAGAAACAUUUUCACCAAGUUCUCAAAUCAGCUAACGAUGGUGAUUGACGAAUUUGAUGGUCUUGUCAAUAAUGAAAUUUAUGAAGCUGCUCAGACCUAUUUGGGCAGCAAGUUGUCACCUAACAUCCAUCGACUUAAAAUCAGUAAGCCUGAGAAGGAGAAAAAUUUCAACAUUGCCAUGGAACGUAAUGAGGAGGUAAUGUCUUGCACAUAUAAAAUUGCAUGUCAUGUUACUUGUCAUCUUAAAAGGUUUGGUCUAAACUUGAAGCCAUUUGUUACUUGGACUCUUUAAAAAAUAUUGAUGUGUGUGUCAGAUCCUUCAAAAGUUUUUUUUUUUUUGAGGAUCCAACACAAAAGUGACAACAUUUUUUAGGGUCGGUUCCACCUAGACUAGAAGUAGUCUGAUGUAGAGACUCUCCACAUUAGACAUAUGUGAUAUGGAACAUACUGAGGAGGUAAAGUCUUGCACAUAUAUAUAAUGAUAAUUGCAUGUCAUAUUAUUUGUUAUCAUAAAGAGUUUGGUCUAAACUGGAAGCUAUGUUGCCUAAACUCUUCAAAAAUAUUGACGGGUAUGCAUCAGAUUCUUGAAAAGUUAUGCAGAGGAUCCAACACGGGUACAACAACAUUUUUGAAUGUCCGUGUCUGUCAGACAUAUGACUCUUUUUCCUAAUAAUCCACCAUUGGAAUAGUGAAAUUAGUCGCCUUUCUUUAAAAUUCAUACGUCUUGAUUUGAAGAACGAUUGUAUUCACGAGUUCAAGUAAGGUUCCACGUUUAAUUUACCUUUAUGAUAAUUUAACGUAAUAGAUCGUGUGAAGACGAUGUUUUUUUUUAAAAUCUCAAGGUUUUAUUCCAACAGGUGACAGAUGUUUAUAAUGGACAGACAUUCAAGUGGAUUUGGCUCUGUAGACAAACACAGUCUACAAACUUCUAUAAUUCCAGGGACAUGAAUUCCACUCUAAAAUCUGAAAUCAGGUCCUUUGAGCUGACAUUUCACAAGAAAAACAAGGACCUUGUCCUUAAUUCGUAUUUGCCUCACAUCAUGAAAGAAGCAAAAUUGCAAAAACACGUAAACAAGACGAUCAAGAUUCACACUGUGGAUUGCGAGAGAAUGUACAAUUUACACGAAAUGUGGAAGCCAGUGAAUCUUAAUCAUCCAGCCACUUUUGAGACAAUCGCGAUGGAAUCAGAUCAAAAAGACAUGAUCUUGAAAGAUUUGGAGAGAUUCGUGAAGAGGAAAGAUUAUUAUAGGAAAGUUGGCAAGGCAUGGAAAAGAGGGUAUUUGUUGUUUGGUCCUCCAGGGACCGGAAAAUCUAGUUUGAUUGCUGCAAUGGCGAAUUAUUUGAACUUUGAUAUAUAUGAUUUGGAGUUGACUUCGCUGAGGGGGAACAUGGAGUUACGGAGGUUGUUGGUUGCCACAGCCAAUAAGUCCAUUUUGGUGGUGGAGGACAUUGAUUGUACCAUUGAAUUGCAAGAUAACUUGGCUAACCGAGCUACUGUUCAUUCAAUUAAUGGUUUUGGUAUGAAAGAAACCAAGGUAAAUUAGUCUUCUAUUUUCCAUUUCCUUACUAUUCCUACAAGUUGUAGACACAAUAAAAAGUUAGGGCUAUGUAUUUUAGUUAAAUAGUGUAAUACAUAAGCAUACACUCAAAUUUCACCUCAAUUGGCAAGGAAGCACUUCAACUUUGGUAGUGCACAUCUAGACACUCCAACUCGUCUCUACUGCGUCUCAUGGACACCCAAUGCUGAUGUGACACAUAAAUUUGGAGGUGUCUAGAUGAUGACGGUGUAAGUUGGAGUGUUCAGCCUACACAUGGGAGAAGAGUUGAGGUGUCUAGAUUUGCACAUUCAAAGUUGGAGUGUUCAGCCUACACAUGGGAGAAGAGUUGAGGUGUCUAGAUUUGCAUAUUCAAAGUUGGAGUGUUCAACCUACACAUCGGAGAAGAGGUGAGGUGUCUAGAUUUGCAUAUUCAAAGUUGGAGCGUUUACUUAUCAGCUGAGGUCAAACUUAAAUGUCUGGUUGUGUAUUCUGUCAUUUUAAUUUAUGGGGUAGUAUGACAUUUGGAUUUGGUAUUAGUGUAUCGUUAUACUUUCCGUGACUACGCCAUUUUGUUUUGUAGGUGACAUUAUCAGGUUUACUGAAUUUUAUUGAUGGAUUAUGGUCGAGUUGUGGAGACGAAAGAAUCAUAAUUUUCACGACAAAUCACAUAGAGAAACUCGACCCUGCAUUGUUGCGACCUGGUAGAAUGGACAUGCACAUUCACAUGGCAUAUUGCACACCUUGUGGCUUCAAACUUCUUGCUGCCAAUUACUUAGGGAUUAAAGAUCAUAAAUUGUUCAAAGAAAUUGAGGAAUUGAUUGACAUAGCCAAUGUGACCCCAGCAGAAGUGGCAGAGCAAUUGUUGAAGGAAGAUGAAGUUGAGAAUUCCCUUCAAGGGUUGAUUAAUUUUCUUUACAAAAAGAUAAAAGAGAAUGAAGAGGUUAAGGCUAAGAAAGUGGAAUUAACACAAGUGGAAUCUGUUGAUGAGGAGGAGGAAAAUGUUGAAAAUGAGAUUAAAGAAAAAGAGGAAGAAAAGGACUUACCAAAUGGGGAAAGUACUUAAAUCCACAUAAAAAACAGUUUGUCUGAUCCAAUUUCACGCGGUGUAGCGCCUCAUUUGAUCUAUAUAAAUAAUAAAAAAAUAUAUCUGGUAAAUUGUACAAUAUUAUACGAGAACUAUGCUGUGAGAAUCCCUAUCACUUAAUCAUAUGAUUAGAAGAUAGUUUAUAUAAUUUUGUACGUAUUAAUUAAUCUGAAUUAAACGACUAAGUUGUAUGUCCCCUUGAGAAUAUUACUUUAUAUUCGCACUAUUUUAUAUAAAUAAAAUACGUACUAGUGUUAUUAUAUACGUUUACUCAAUUAUAAUAAAUAUUUUUACUUAAAUGUCCUCUAUCAGAAAGUUUCAAAAUUUAACUAUUGGUACUCAAAAAUCAGACUGUAAACCCAAAUAGUUUUCUCCACCGGCGGCGAAUUCGUCAUCAAACCGGCAGCACCAGCAAAUUGAUUAAUGAAAUGCACGGAAUCGGCGGCAUCCAUUAUUGUCCGAUUUGGCCCCGUUCAGCUAAUUGAUUUUCCGGCCGACUAAUUUUGAGUGAGGUAAUUUUCCCCUAAUUUAUAUGAUCUGUAAAUUGAGUUACAGUGCUUUGACUCUGCGUAAUGAUAGCCCUAACUUCAAUCUCUUGUUUCUUUGUUCAACUAUUUAUUGUUCUAUAUACCUACCUAACCUAUCACCUUUUUGUGAGUUUCGUGCUUCAACUAUCAGUCAGUUUGUACUAAAAUACUCAUGGAUGUUAAGUUAGCCUUCACGGGGAACAAGUUAAUAUUUGGUUAUCUCAAUAUCGAUGUGUGUUUUGAUAAAAGGAUGGAUAGUUUAGAUAAGUAAAGAGAACCAUUGAUGAUUGAGGUGUGAAACUUACAAAAAAGUGAUGGUUUAGGUGUUCUUUUUUUACCAUUAACUCCACAAAAAAGGAAUAUUAGUAAUCAAAGUUUGAAACUUUCUACAACAGAAGAGCAGAAAUACAAUCAACAUAUGAGAAUAAAAUAAUUAUCAUUCUGUAUUGAGGUUUUAGCGCUUGGUGUAAAAGACUUCAAUCUGAAGUCAUUUUUGAAGUGCUUAGAUUGAGAUAUAGUUGAUUCAUUGAUUUUCCUACUAUUCAAAGCAACCGUUUUACCGCCCGGGAUCUAAGCAUUUGAAAUCUAUAUAGUUUCCAAAUCCAAAUCAGUCCAUUCACAACAGGUAAGAGUAAUUUUUUUUUUUGAUAACCAAGAAAUCUGUCUGUGACCCGCCCUUUGAAUCAAUCACGGCCUUCUAAACUCGGUGGAUAAUGAGUCCGCCCCUCUACCCUUCUCCACUUAAAUACUGGGCUUCGUUUUGCAUGGUGUGGGGUUUGAACCUGUGACCUAAGUCACAAUUCCUCCACCUUUUGCCACUCGAGCUAGGCUUUGGAGGCCGGGUAAGAGUAAAUUUAUAUAUCAUUUAUUAGAAAAAAAAUAAGGAUUAGUAUAUUAGAGAACUUCUUCCUUAUGUUCUUUAAUAUGAGUUACCUCAUGAGCUGGGAGGUUUUUAGAAACAGUCUCUCUAUUCCUAUGAGGUAGGGGCAAGGUCUGGGUACACUCUUCCCUGCCCACACCCCACCAUAUGGGAACUACACUGGGUAUGUUAUUUUUGUUGUUUUAUAUUAGAGAACGUGACAACUAACCACUCCAACUAUUGGUAUGGUUUCUGUUUUCUGAUUAUAGUUAAGUUGUUAAGGAUGAGAUUGUAGUUGAUGAAUUGGAACUUGCUAAUUUCAUUUUCUGGAAUAUACCAAACCAUUGAAACUGCAUUAUUUGAUUGGGAGAAAUCUUCAUAUAUUUCUCUUUCAAUUUGAAGGAAUCUCAAAAGUUAGAGACAAAACGGAGAUGUUGCAUGUUGAUUAGCAUUGGCAUUGUGAUCUGAUGAGGUACAUCAACUUAUUCAGAUCAUUGCUUUUCCCUAUUUUAGGACAAAUUUAUUAUAUAGCUUGUUUAGUCAUCUCAGUCCGUGUGUUGUAAAUAAAAUGUAGGAAAUCGUUGUAGAAUUAUUUUCUCCUAUUCAAAUUUUAAAUGGACUGAGAGAUCAUUUUCUCAUCUGAACUACGCAUAAACCAAAUACAAUAAUAGCAAUACGAAAUUCCAGCUAAUUCUGUUUGUUCUUCAAUCAAUAUAAUAGUACUCUUAAGGGGGACAUACUACUUGAUCGUUUACAUCAGAUUAACGAAUACAAAAUUAUAUAAACCAUCUUCUAAUCAUUGAUUAAGUGAUAUGGAUUCUUCCUCCUCAUCUUAGAUCCCAUUUCCAUUACUUUCUUUCUUCUCAUCAACAGACUUCACUUGAGUUAUUUCCACUUUCUUAGCCUUGUCCUCUUCCUUCUCUUUCAUCUUUUUGUGAAGAAAAUUAAUCAACCCUUUAAGUGAAUCUCCAACUUCAUGUUCCUUCAACAACUGCUCUGCUACUUCUGCUGGUGUCACAUUGGCUAUGUCAAUCAAUUCCUCAAUUUCUUUGAAAAAUUUAUGAUCUUUAAUCCCCAAGUAAUUGGCAGCAAGAAGUUUGAAGCCACACGGUGUGCAAUAUGCCAUGUGAAUGUGCACGUCCAUUCUGCCAGGUCGUCGCAGCAGUACAGGGUCGAGUUUUUCUAUGUGAUUAGUUGUAAAAAUUAUGAUUCUUUCAUUUCCAUAGCUCGUCAAUAAAAUUUAGUAAACCUGACAAGGUGAUCUGCAAUAAAAAAAAUAUAUUAGUAAAGGUGAAGUAUUACACACAACACACUACACUAAUACCAAAUCCAAAUAUUCCCGAUAAUUGACACUUAAUUUAUUCAAGAAUAUCACAAAUUAAUGGAGGGUGAAAUUAUUGUGGUUCCAUGUCAGUAGAAUUUGUAAAAAAAUAUCGACUAAUCCGUAGGCAAGGAUGCAUUAGAACAAUUGUUCAGAACCCCUUCAUACUCUUGUCAUGUCGAAAUACUGCACAAAAAGAGGAAUAGUAAAGAUAGGAAACAGAAAAUAUAAGACUAAUUUACUGUGCUUUCGGACUGAUGAAAAUCAUUUGAACGAACAUACAUAGCUCGAUUAAUCAAAUUAGCUUUCAAGUUAAUGGUACAAUCAAUGUCCUCAAUCACCAAAAUUGACUUAUUGGUUGUGGCAACCAACAACUUCCUUAAAUCUGAAUUCCUCGUCACUGCAGUCAACUCCAAAUCAUAUAAAUCGACGUUUAAAUAAUUCGCUAUUGCAGCUAUCAAACUAGAUUUCCCCGUCCCGGAGGACCAAACAACAAAUACCCUCUUUUCCAUGCCUUCCCUACUUUCCUGUAAUACUCUUUCCUCGUCAUGAAUCUCUCCAAAUCCUUCAAGAUCAUGUCUUUCUGGUCAUUGUCUCAAAAGUGGUGGGAUAAUUAAAAUUCACCGACUUCCACAUGUUAUGUAAACAAAUCAUCUUUCCUUGUUUUUCUUGUGAAAUGUUAACUCAAAGGAUCUUAUUACAAAUUUCUAAGCCGAAUCCAUGUCUCUGGGGUUGUAGAAGUGUUUAGACUCUACUUGUCUACAGAGCCAAAUCCACUUGAAUGACUGUCCAUUAUAAACAUCUAUCACCUGCUGGAAUAAAACCUUAAGAUUAGAAAAUAGCAUCAUCUUCAAAAGAUUUAUUAUGUUAAAUUAUUACGAAGGCAAAUUAAAUGUGGAAGCUUACCUGAGUACCCAUGCAUAUAGAACAAUUUUUCAAAUCAAGACGUGAAUUUUAAGGGAAGUGAUAUUCACUUUUCUAAUGGUGGACGGUUAGAAAAAAUUUCAUAUGUCUAAUCUGGAGACCAUAACCCUAUUUAUAAUUACAAAUAGUUUGUUUGUUUCUAUUUUGUUUGGUUUAUCAUUAAAUUAGAAGUUGUAUCAGCAUAUCUACACAUAAAAACACAUACUUUAUGAUUUUUCUUACGAACACUUAACUUUUUGCAUUAAGUUGACUACCUAAUUACUUGUAUUCUAUGUUGCUCGGACCCUAAAAAUUGUGGUUAUAUACGUGUCAGAUUCUCCAAAAGUGCAUAGCAUUAGAAGGAUCCAAUAUUUUCACUCGACAAUCACUACAAAAAAACUGAAAUUUGCUACAAAUUUUAUUGCUUAUUCGUUGCUAAAUAGCUCAUAGCUAACACAAGUUUUGGAUAAUCUGUGGUGACAUAUAUUGUUGUUAAGCUACAAAAUUUGUCCACCACUAAUCCAUAUAUUCUUAGUAGUAAGUAUCUUUUUAGAGUCCAAGCAACAUAACUUUUAGUUUGAUCUAAAACUUUUAUUAUAACAAAUAAUAUAACAUGCAAUUAUCAUUAUUUUUUUAUUUUUUUUUUGAUAACCGAGAAAUCCGUCUGUGACCCGCCCUUUGGACCAAUCACAGCCUUCCAAACUCGGUGGAUAAUGGGCCCGCCCCUCUACCCUUCUCCACUUAAAUACCGGGCUUCGCUUUGCAUGGUGUGGGGCUUGAACCUGCGACCUAAGUCACAGAUCCUCCACCUUUUGCCACUUGAGCUAGGCCUUGGGGGCGCAAUUAUCAUUAUAUAUAUAGAUGUGUGUUUGUGUGUGCAAAUAAUUACCUCCUCAUUACGUUCCAUGGCGAUGUUAAAAAUUUUCUCCUUCUCGGUCUUACUGAUUUUAAGUCUAUGGAUUUGAGGGGACAACUUGUUGGCCAAAUAAGUCGCUGCAGCUUCAUAAAUUUUGUUGUUGACGAGGCCAUCAAAUUCGUCAAUCACCAUCGUUAGCUGAUUUGAGAACUUGGUGAACAUGUUUUUGAGUCCAAAGAAGAGAUAUGCAUGCAGUUCCUUGGGGAUGUAGUUGUGGAUUAUCGUAUGAACCAACAUGACUGUUGCAGCAACUGAGCCUACUCUCGAUAAAUCUGUCUUGGCAAGGGUUAUUUUCGAUUCUGCUGAUGAAGAGGGCAUGCUUCUUAAGGGCUUUUUGGCUAGUGGGUGUGUAACAAGUAAAUUUUUAUUCCUGAAAAUGUAAUAAUCAAGACAAAAAAAUAGCGACAAAUAUUUAAUAUUUGAUUUCAAUAAUGUGCGUGGAUCACAAUCUUUAUGAAAUCUUAAAUAUAAAGACGUAAUCCUUUUAUUGUUAUCAUCAUGACCAGUAUUUUG
rnacentral:lncRNA from 1 species